GGGAUUGUAGUGUAGUGGUCUAGCACCGUCGCUUUGGGAGCGACAAACUCAAGUUCAAAUCUUGGCUAUCCCA
rnacentral:tRNA from 1 species